AUUGAACGCUGGCGGCAGGCCUAACACAUGCAAGUCGAACGAGUGGCGGACGGGUGAGUAAUGUAUGGGAAUCUGCCCGAUGGAGGGGGAUAACUACUGGAAACGGUAGCUAAUACCACAUACUAUCGGAUGAACCCAGAUGGGAUUAGCUAGUAGGUGGGGUAAAGGCUCACCUAGGCGACGAUCGCUAGCUGGUCUGAGAGGAUGAUCAGCCACACUGGGACUGAGACACGGUCCAGACUCCUACGGGAGGCAGCAGUGGGGAAUAUUGCACAAUGGGCGCAAGCCUGAUGCAGCCAUGCCGCGUGUAUGAAGAAGGCCUUAGGGUUGUAAAGUACUUUCAGCGGGGAGGCGUUACCCGCAGAAGAAGCACCGGCUAACUCCGUGCCAGCAGCCGCGGUAAUAC
rnacentral:rRNA from 1 species